UACGUAGGGUGCAAGCGUUAAUCGGAAUUACUGGGCGUAAAGCGUGCGCAGGCGGUUUUGUAAGUCUGACGCGAAAUCCCCGGGCUCAACCUGGGAAUUGCGUUGGAGACUGCAAGGCUGGAGUCUGGCAGAGGGGGGUAGAAUUCCACGUGUAGCAGUGAAAUGCGUAGAGAUGUGGAGGAACACCGAUGGCGAAGGCAGCCCCCUGGGUCAAGACUGACGCUCAUGCACGAAAGCGUGGGGAGCAAACAGG
rnacentral:rRNA from 1 species